rnacentral:rRNA from 1 species
CCUAUGGGAGGCAGCAGGCGCGCAAACUUUGCAAUACACGAAAGUGUGACAGGGCUAUCCCGAGUGCCGUCCGCUGAGGGUGGCUUUUACUCAGUUUAGCAAGCUGGGAGAAUAAGGAGAGGGCAAGUCUGGUGUCAGCCGCCGCGGUAAUACCAGCUCUCCGAGUGGUGUGGAUGUUUAUUGGGCCUAAAGCAUCCGUAGCUGGCUGAGUUAGUCCCCUGUUAAAUCCAGCAAAUUAAUUGUUGGUGUGCGGGGGAUACUGCUCGGCUAGGGGGCGGGAGAGGCAGACGGUAUUUCCGGGGUAGGGGUGAAAUCCUAUAAUCCCGGGAAGACCACCAGUGGCGAAGGCUGUCUGCUAGAACGCGCCCGACGGUGAGGGAUGAAAGCUGGGGGAGCGAACCGGAUUAGAUACCCCCGUAGUCC